CCUGAACAAUAUAUCAAUCGGUAGUCGAAUCUUUGUGCUCGAAAAAUGAGGCUUCAACAUCGACAUGUAAAUUAAGAGCGUUCUGCGACUUAAACAGACACAGUGAUAAUAAAAGUGGGAUAUGUAAGGUGACCUGUCCAUUUAGGUAGUUCAUAGAAUCCAGAAUCAUUGAGAAUUAAUAUUUCAUGUUUACAAGAUUCAUACUAACCAGUCUAAUCACAAUGUCAGGGACAUUUUUCAAAGAGUAUAUUUUUUAUUAUAAUUCCUAAAUAUAAUGAAAAAUUAAACUU